rnacentral:tRNA from 1 species
ACCCUUGGCUCAACUGGAUAGAGUACCUGACUACGAAUCAGGCGGUUGCAGGUUCGAAUCCUGCAGGGUGCA